rnacentral:rRNA from 1 species
GACGAACGCUGGCGGCGUGCUUAACACAUGCAAGUCGAACGGAAAGGCCCUGCUUUUGUGGGGUGCUCGAGUGGCGAACGGGUGAGUAACACGUGAGUAACCUGCCCUUGACUUUGGGAUAACUUCAGGAAACUGGGGCUAAUACCGGAUAGGAGCUCCUGCUGCAUGGUGGGGGUUGGAAAGUUUCGGCGGUUGGGGAUGGACUCGCGGCUUAUCAGCUUGUUGGUGGGGUAGUGGCUUACCAAGGCUUUGACGGGUAGCCGGCCUGAGAGGGUGACCGGCCACAAUGGGACUGAGAUACGGCCCAGACUCCUACGGGAGGCAGGAGUGGGGAAUAUUGCACAAUGGGCGGAAGCCUGAUGCAGCAACGCCGCGUGCGGGAUGACGGCCUUCGGGUUGUAAACCGCUUUCGCCUGUGACGAAGCGUGAGUGACGGUAAUGGGUAAAGAAGCAACGGCUAACUACGUG